GGUAAGGUGAACCGUGGGGAGAUGGACUGGAGGCCGGAGACCAAAAUUAGAGGAUGAACUGGAGGUCCGUAUAUUGAGAGCUCGGAGGGAAUCUGAGGGCUGCUAUUAGAGAGAAAAGGCCCUCUGAUGAUCCACCCAUAACACUUCUGAUAACAGUGCUUUUCCUUUGAAGAACCUCCUUUCCUGCCAGGUGAAGGGACAUGGACCUGUAAUCCCGGUCACUUGGGAGGCUGAGACAGGAGGAUUUCAAGUUUGAGAAGAAUGUCUGAAUGGAUGCACUACUCCUCAUGUAUAAGAACCAGAAGACCAGAACUGGAGAUCUGCCUCUGGCCUGUAUUAACCAUGUGGCCCAAGACACUGCUGCUGCCUUUUGGAGCCUUGUUUUCUUCCUUUGGAAAAUGCAAAAAGUGAAAACACACGUCCUUCUCACAGAUGCUGUGAGGACUGAAAGAGAUGAUGGAUAGAA